rnacentral:rRNA from 1 species
GGGUCAGUAGGUUGGUCGUGCCACCGGUACGUACUGGUCUCACUGAUUCCUCCUUCCUGAAGAACCGUAAUGCCAUUAAUUUGGUGUUGCGGGGAAACAGGACUGUUACUUUGAAAAAAUUAGAGUGUUUAAAGCAAGCUAACGCUUGAAUACAUUAGCAUGGAAUCAUGAAAUAGGACGAUCGAUCCUAUUUUGUUGGUUUCUAGGAUUGACGUA